GCUCAGGACGAACGCUGGCGGCGUGCCUAACACAUGCAAGUCGAACGGAGAAUUUUAUUUCGGUAGAAUUCUUAGUGGCGAACGGGUGAGUAACGCGUAGGCAACCUGCCCUUUAGACGGGGACAACAUUCCGAAAGGAGUGCUAAUACCGGAUGUGAUCAUCGUGCCGCAUGGCAGGAUGAAGAAAGAUGGCCUCUACAAGUAAGCUAUCGCUAAAGGAUGGGCCUGCGUCUGAUUAGCUAGUUGGUAGUGUAACGGACUACCAAGGCGAUGAUCAGUAGCCAGUCUGAGAGGAUGAACGGCCACAUUGGGACUGAGACACGGCCCAAACUCCUACGGGAGGCAGCAGUA
rnacentral:rRNA from 1 species